rnacentral:piRNA from 1 species
UCAUAAAUGUGCCUCACCCC